AAGUCGUAACAAGGUUUCCGUAGGUGAACCUGCGGAAGGAUCAUUAAUGAAUAUUGAACUGGGUUGUUGCUGGCUCUUCGGAGUAUUGUGCACACCCUUCAGUUUCAACCAUCCCUGUGCACCAACUGUAGGCCCUGUUCGGGCCUAUGUAUUUUCACAUACACUUACAAUACCAUGAAUGUGUACUUGAUCCUCUGGAUCUAAAUAUAAAAUACAACUUUUAGCAAUGGAUCUCUUGGCUCUC
rnacentral:misc_RNA from 1 species